rnacentral:rRNA from 1 species
GACGAACGCUGGCGGCGUGCUUAACACAUGCAAGUCGAACGAAGUGGCGAACGGGUGAGUAACGCGUAAUCAACCUGCCCUUCAGAGGGGGAUAACAGUUGGAAACGACUGCUAAUACCGAAUACUGAAGGAGGGGAGUGCGUCUGAUUAGCUAGUUGGAGGGGUAACGGCCCACGAAGGCGCUGAUCAGUAGCCGGUCUGAGAUGAAUAACUGCCCCAUGUUGACUGAGUCACGGCCCAGACUUCUACGGGAGGCAGCAGUGGGGAAUCUUCCGCAAUGGACGAAUGUCUGACAGAACAACGCCGCGUGUGUGAUGAUGGCCUUCGGGUUGUAAAGCUCUGUUAAUCGGGACGCGGUACCGGAAUAGAAAGCCACGGCUAACUACGUGCCAGCAGCCGCGGUAAUUC